rnacentral:rRNA from 1 species
ACGGUCCUAAGGUAGCGAAAUUCCUUGUCGGGUAAGUUCCGACCUGCACGAAUGGCGUAACGACUUCCCCACUGUCUCGACCAGGAGCUCGGCGAAAUUGCAGUACGAGUAAAGAUGCUCGUUAAGCGCAGAAGGACGAAAAGACCCCGGGACCUUUACUAUACCUUGGUAUUGGCAUUCGGUGUGGAUUGUGUAGCAUAGGCGGAAGGCUUCGAAGCCACGGCGCCAGCCGCGGUGGAGCCGCAAGGUGAAAUACCGCUCUGUUCGCAUUGGAUGUCUAACCUCGACCAGUCAUCCUGGUCAGGGACAGUGCCUGGCGGGUAGUUUAACUGGGGCGGUUGCCUCCCAAAGAGUAACGGAGGCGCUCAAAGGUUCCCUCAGCCCGGUUGGCAAUCGGGUGGCGAGUGUAAGUGCACAAGGGAGCUUGACUGCGAGACUGACGGGUCGAGCAGGGACGAAAGUCGGAACUAGUGAUCCGGUGCCGGUGUACGGACGCGGCAUCGCUCAACGGAUAAAAGGUACCCCGGGGAUAACAGGCUGAUCAUUCCCAAGAGUCCAUAUCGACGGGAUGGUUUGGCACCUCGAUGUCGGCUCGUCGCAUCCUGGGGCUGGAGCAGGUCCCAAGGGUUCGGCUGUUCGCCGAUUAAAGCGGCACGCGAGCUGGGUUCAGAACGUCGUGAGACAGUUUGGUCUCUAUCCUCUGCGCUCGUCGGAAUGUUGAGGAGGCCUGCCCAUAGUACGAGAGGACCUGGGUGGACGAACCUCUGGUAUGCCGGUUGUCACGCCAGUGGCACGGCCGGUUGGCUACGUUCGGAAGGGAUAACCGCUGAAAGCAUCUAAGCGGGAAGCCUGCUCCAAGAUAAGCAUUCCAUAGGACUACGGGUCCUUGAAGUCCCCAUGCAGAACACGUGGUUGAUAGGCCGGACGUGGAAGCCCCGCGAGGGGUGGAGCCGACCGGUACUAACGGACGAAAGGCAACACAAC